rnacentral:sRNA from 1 species
UAUUAUUGGCCACAAAACCAGACCUGAU